UUCAAUUAUAUGUAGAACCAUCCAAAAGUCUCCUCUCAGGCAUUAAGGAACAUGAACGCUUUUAAGGGAUUUCCAAACUGGAAAUAACCAACACAACUAGGUCAAGCAUCCAUCAUGCACCAUGUACACCACAGUGCACCACAGCUGAGACCAGUGUGGAUCCCACCAUCAGCAGCUUUUCCAAAGGACCCAGGCAAAAUGUUUCUUUUUGAGGCAGAGAAUUCUUCUAAAUGAUUGUUGGAACUUAGAAUUACUCAAGAUUAUUAUAACCGAGUGGCCAGAGGGAUAUGCUGCCAUUAUGUCCUUCAGCAUAAAGAACUGGUGACUUCUGUAAGUGUGGUGUUUCUGAGGGCAUCCUCUUCCACAUUUUUAGCGUAAUCUACCUCGACACACAGAUGCAAUGCUCACAGAGGCCAGAACGCUUCCCAGAAGCAGCCAAGAGUGAGCACUUUCUCAUGGUGUAAAAUAUUCUACCAAAACCUUAUUUCCAAUAGGAGGGUCCAGAUAAUCAAAGCUUCGGAUCUCCUAAAACCUGGCUUUGCCUCUUACUUGAGAACUUUGCAAAGAAGAAUGCUAGCCAGUGAAUGUUCAGAGAGGAAGGAAGAAGAAGCUGUCCAAUGACCUUUUUUCUUAUGGCUUUCUAACUUGAUUCUUGACACUGUCACCAAGGUCAGCCUGCAGGAGAAUAGGUUUCUUUCUCUUUAUUUAAGUUUCUACAUCUCCCCUACAGAAGUGCAUCAAAAUUGUUUCAAUCAGUUAUCUUUAUUGUAAGAUUAUUAGUAGUUUUAAAAGUAUAUAUUCUUUUGGCAUUCUUUAUUUUUCUACAUUGAAAAAUAUUGCUUUUAUUUAAAAAAAAUAAAGUUAUUAUUUUAAAGAACUUGGCUCAAACAUGGACAAGGUGACAGUGGUUCCCAUUAGCACAGUUCAAAAAGAUUUUAAGUUUAUAUUGUUGCCUUUUUACUAAAUGAGAGGCCCUAGAAUUGCCUACAUAAUUAAUUACAAUUUUAGCUUUUAAAUGCGUGAAAAAAUAAUAAGAAAGUGAACAAAAAUCAUAUGAUAGAUGCUAAAUAUUCAAGCUUAUAGAGCAUCCGUUUCUGAGGGAAGCACAACCUAUUCCUUAAAAGCUAUUUAUAUCUUGCAUCUCCCAUCCUGUAGGAGUAAUCUGUGGAGAGACAUUUGAUUGAUUAUCUCUGCAAUCCUCCCCUCCCCACUUCCUUCUCUGGCCCCUCCUUGUCCACAUGGGCCUCUGGAGAAACCAGCGAGGGAUGACUGGGGAUAAAGGCUCGUCUCUGGAGAGGGCUGCCAACCUCACCUUGUUCCAAGUCUCCACAAAACACAGCCAACCUUCCAGACACAAAAGAAGCACCUCCUGACUCCAUCUCUUUUCCUUGUUUUCUCUCUUUACAAGCAUAUUGGUAUUUUUUCACAGAGAGAUAAUUCCCAUUCACUUCUAGGAAGAAAAUUUCGCUCUCAAAACUGUUGGUGAGAGACCCCUUGAAGAGAGAACUUCUCUGUUCUUCUGGAGGAGAUGAUUUAGUAAGGCAGUGCUGGAGUUCAAACUGAGCCUCCACAGGCCUAACUUGCUUCACUUUUAAGCUUUUAGGAAGAGAGCUUUUAGAGAGAGAAAAUUGCUUUCCAAAAGGGAACUCUAGAAAGAGGACGAAUGAGCAGGGCUGAAACUUUGAGAGAAAAUGGAAGGAGUUGGAAGAUGGAGGGAGGAACCAAAGUAACUAAUAAGAAUUUCUGGGGCUGGGUGCAGUGGCUCACACUUGAAAUCUCAGCACUUUGGGAGGCUGAAGUCGUGGAUCACAUGAGUCCAGGAAUUCAAGAGCAGCCUGGGCAAUAUGGCAAGACCCCGUCUCUACAAAAAAUACAAAAAUUAGCUGGGCAUGGGGGUGUCUGUAGUCCCAGCUACUCGGGAGGCUGAAGCAGGAAGAUCCCUGGAGCCCAGAGGUUGAGGCUGCAGUGGGCCGUAAUCACGCCACUGCGCUCCAGCCUGGACGGCCAAGUGAGACUAUCUCAAAAAAAAAAAAAGAAUUUAUUAAUUUCUUCUUAUGAAAUAUACAAUAUAGGCCCCCUCUUUUUGCUCCUGUAUGAGAAUGUGAAGAAAAGUCUUUGGCUUGAUGUGCAGUCCUGAUUCCUCUGGAUUCCUUUUGGGAGAGAGGUUAGAACAAGAACUGAGGCCUGGUUCCAGUAAGUGCCUGGAUGCAGGACAGCAGGGUAGCUGACAUCCUGGAUAUGCAAAGUAACAGCAUGGAGAAUAAAGGAGUGAGGAAAAUUAAUAAAACAUGGAAUAUUUUAAUAAGACUGCAAGGAAGCAUACAGAGACACAUGGAAAAUACAAAGAUAGCUGUUUUAUUGUAGCAUGGACAUGGACUUUAUGGCUGGCAAUUUGGGCGUUUCAAGCUCUUUUUGUUGUUUACUUGUGGUACAUGUUUGACAAGUAAUUUCCAUUUUCCAAGUCAUUUUUUUCAUCUGUAAAAUGAGACUAAUUCAAAUAACUUCCCUCGAUAGGUUUCUAUUUUUGGUGAGAAUUGUUUUUUUCUUUUCAUGUAGUAUAUAUUUUAUUAGCUUGUACUAAUACAUUCUCAUAUUACAAAGUCAAUUUAGUGGAAGAAUCUUCCUUCUGAUAUUUGAUUCAUGUGAAAUAACACAAACAGAACUAUACAUUCAAAAAAAUUCUCAUUUAGAUAACAAAAAAAAGACAAGUUAAACAACAAAAAUCUUUUCCUUUCUCACAGGUGGACAUUGAAGUGGACCUAAUUCGGUUUUCCUUUUAAAAGCCCCCACAAACAAAAGUAGUUUGAAACCUAUUUAAAAU
rnacentral:lncRNA from 10 species